rnacentral:rRNA from 1 species
UCGGUCAUUCUCGGCAGAUCAGGUCGGAAGAUCUCUUACGCCGUUUGUCGCUUCGCCUGCCUUGCGCAGGGAGCCGUGCGGGUGUGCUCGCGAUACUGGCACACUUGAUACUGGGUGGCAGAAAGGAAUUCCUGGUGUAGCGGUGAAAUGCGCAGAUAUCAGGAGGAACACCGGUGGCGAAGGCGGGUCUCUGGGCAGUAACUGACGCUGAGGAGCGAAAGCGUGGGUAGCGAACAGGAUUAGAUACCCUGGUAGUCCACGCCGUAAACGGUGGGCGCUAGGUGUGGGUUUCCUUCCACGGGAUCCGUGCCGUAGCUAACGCAUUAAGCGCCCCGCCUGGGGAGUACGGCCGCAAGGCUAAAACUCAAAGGAAUUGACGGGGGCCCGCACAAGCGGCGGAGCAUGUGGAUUAAUUCGAUGCAACGCGAAGAACCUUACCUGGGUUUGACAUAUACCGGAAAGCCGUAGAGAUACGGCCCCCCUUGUGGUCGGUAUACAGGUGGUGCAUGGCUGUCGUCAGCUCGUGUCGUGAGAUGUUGGGUUAAGUCCCGCAACGAGCGCAACCCUUGUCCUGUGUUGCCAGCGCGUAAUGGCGGGGACUCGCAGGAGACUGCCGGGGUCAACUCGGAGGAAGGUGGGGAUGACGUCAAGUCAUCAUGCCCCUUAUGUCCAGGGCUUCACACAUGCUACAAUGGCCGGUACAGAGGGCUGGCGAUACCGUGGAGGUGGAGCGAAUCCCUUAAAGCCGGUCUCAGUUCGGAUCGGGGUCUGCAACUCGACCCCGUGAAGUCGGAGUCGCUAGUAAUCGCAGAUCAGCAACGCUGCGGUGAAUACCGUUCCC